UGGGCUCUUGGAAAAGCAUAAUGCAGCACCCAGUUCACUCCGAGUUCCAGGGCUCGGCGAUGGGCUUCUGCUGAAGACGAAAGACAUGCUGUCCUACGGCUGCCCUCGGCCUGGUUGCUCUGCUGCUGUAGUGAACCAGAUUGCUGCCCCGAGAACGCGUGCUUUGUCCCUGCUGGUGCUAAUGGUUUUCUACGCUCCGUCCCGGACACGUGACAGCCCCGUGUCAUAGCGCCACUGCAAAAUGCAUUCUCCGUGCCCAGGAAGAACCUGUAUAAAUAUUCUCAAUAAAUAAAUAACAGUUGUCAUUUUCAGAA